rnacentral:pre_miRNA from 1 species
CUACAGGUCCCUCCUCAUCAGAAGAACAAAAUAAUCUAGGAAAAAAAAAAUUCUAGAUAUUUUGUUCUCCUGAUGAGGACGGACCUGU